UCCACUUCUAGGGGGAGCAGUAAGUACGCAUUGAUCCCUAGGUCUCCGAAUGGGGAAACCCAGCUGCUACUAGCAGUUAUUCAUGAGUGAAUACAUAGCUCAUGUAAAGGUAACGCAGAGAACUGAAACAUCUAAGUACCUGCAGGAAGAGAAAGUAAAAACGAUUUCGUAAGUAGCGGCGAGCGAACGCGAAGAAGGGCAAACCAAGAAGCUUGCUUCUUGGGGUUGUAGGACUGCAACGUGGACUUAAGCAUUAUAGUCGAAUAACCUGGGAAGGUUAAUCAAAGAGGGUAAUAAUCCCGUAGACGAAAUAGCGCUUNUACCUAGCAGUAUCCUGAGUANGGCNGGACACGNGAAAUCCNGUNNGAAUCNGGGAGGACCAUCUCCCAACCCUAAAUACUCCUUAGUGACCGAUAGUGAACCAGUACCGUGAGGGAAAGGUGAAAAGAACCCCGAGAGGGGAGUGAAAUAGCACCUGAAACCGUGUGCCUACAAGAAGUUCGAGCCCGUUAAUGGGUGAGAGCGUGCCUUUUGUAGAAUGAACCGGCGAGUUACGUUAUGAUGCGAGGUUAAGUUGAAGAGACGGAGCCGUAGGGAAACCGAGUCUGAAUAGGGCGACUUAGUAUCAUGAUGUAGACCCGAAACCUAGUGACCUAUCCAUGGACAGGGUGGAGGUCGCGGUAAGACGCACUGGAGGCCCGAACCAGGACACGUUGAAAAGUGUUUGGAUGACUUGUGGAUAGCGGAGAAAUUCCAAACGAACUGGGAGAUAGCUGGUUCUCUCCGAAAUAGCUUUAGGGCUAGCGUCGAAAUGUAAGUGUAUUGGAGGUAGAGCACUGUUUGGGUGAGGGGUCCGUCUAGGAUUACCAAUCUCAGAUAAACUCCGAAUGCUAANACANAUGUUAAUCCGGNAGUCANACUGCGAGUGCUAAGAUCCGUAGUCGAAAGGGAAACAGCCCAGACCAACAGCUAAGGUCCCAAAAUAUAUGUUAAGUGGAAAAGGAUGUGGGGUUGCNCAGACAACUAGGAUGUUGGCUUAGAAGCAGCCAUCAUUUAAAGAGUGCGUAAUAGCUCACUAGUCGAGUGACCCUGCGCCGAAAAUGUACCGGGGCUAAACAUAUUACCGAAGCUUUGGAUUGAUAUUUUAUCAAUGGUAGGAGAGCGUUCUUAACCGCGAUGAAGGUAUACCGUGAGGAGUGCUGGAGCGUUAAGAAGUGAGAAUGCCGGUAUGAGUAGCGCAAGAUAAGUGAGAAUCUUAUCCACCGUAAGACUAAGGUUUCCAGGGGAAGGCUCGUCCGCCCUGGGUUAGUCGGGACCUAAGGCGAGGCCGAAAGGCGUAGUCGAUGGACAACUGGUUGAUAUUCCAGUACUAGAUAUGAUCGUGAUGGAGGGACGCAGUAGGCUAAGAGAUGCCAGUUAAUGGAUUCUGGUCUAAGCAGUGAGGUGGAGGUCGCUAGAUGUGUCAAAUGCAUUUCUCUUUAACAUUGAGCUGUGAUGGGGAAGCAACUACGGUUGCGAACUCUCUGAUGUCACACUGCCAAGAAAAGCUUCUAGCGUUUAAACAUACUCUACCCGUACCGCAAACCGACACAGGUAGUCGAGGCGAGUAGCCUCAGGUGAGCGAGAGAACUCUCGUUAAGGAACUCGGCAAAAUGACCCCGUAACUUCGGGAGAAGGGGUGCUGAUUUAGGUCAGCCGCAGUGAAUAGGCCCAAGCAACUGUUUAUCAAAAACACAGCUCUCUGCUAAAUCGUAAGAUGAUGUAUAGGGGGUGACGCCUGCCCGGUGCUGGAAGGUUAAGAGGAGUGCUUAGGAGUAAUCCGAAGGUAUGAAUUGAAGCCCCAGUAAACGGCGGCCGUAACUAUAACGGUCCUAAGGUAGCGAAAUUCCUUGUCGGGUAAGUUCC
rnacentral:rRNA from 1 species